rnacentral:pre_miRNA from 13 species
UUGAGGUGAGGUAGUAGGUUGUAUAGUAGUGCACUACAUCAUUAUAGGAGACUGUACAGCCUGCUAACUUUCCUUGA